CAGAGUGCUGUCCCCCAGGGUUUAGCACACAGUACCGAGUCAGUAUGGGACUGAGGUUAAGUCCUGCAGCAGCAAUAGCUGCCAAACCCCACCGUGAGGGAUUCGGGGUGUCACAAGCAGAGCGAGCAGCAAAAAGUGGGGGGCAGAGCCCGGCGGGGAGCUGUGAAAGGCCUCAACUUGGAUUCAAGUCCCUGACCAUCAAGAGAGGACGUUGUUGCAGGAAGGGAAGUUGUAGACAAGACAUGGAGAGUGGCAAUCAUCACAAUGGUUGUAAUGGACCAGUACAAUCGCUGGUUGCAAACUCAGCAUCCUGUUGUGGCAGAAGAGGUAGAAGACAUGCUAGUGCUUCAGAGACAGCUUUUCAGUGGCUGGAGAAGCUGAAUUCUCUUUAAAAUAAAAAUCAAGAGAUUACUUGUCUCCUAGCCUGACAGUCUGAUCAGCUGUUCCCUCUGUAACACCGGGUUG